GUGGGGAAUUUUGGACAAUGGGCGCAAGCCUGAUCCAGCAAUGCCGCGUGUGUGAAGAAGGCCUUCGGGUUGUAAAGCACUUUUGGCAGGAAAGAAAUAGCGCGUGCUAAUACCAUGCGCGAAUGACGGUACCUGCAGAAUAAGCACCGGCUAACUACGUGCCAGCAGCCGCGGUAAGACGUAGGGUGCAAGCGUUAAUCGGAAUUACUGGGCGUAAAGCGUGCGCAGGCGGUUUUGUAAGACAGGUGUGAAAUCCCCGGGCUCAACCUGGGAACUGCACUUGUGACUGCAAGGCUAGAGUGUGUCAGAGGGAGGUGGAAUUCCGCGUGUAGCAGUGAAAUGCGUAGAGAUGCGGAGGAACACCGAUGGCGAAGGCAGCCUCCUGGGAUAACACUGACGCUCAGGCACGAAAGCGUGGGGAGCAAACAGGAUUAGAUACCCGGGUAGUCC
rnacentral:rRNA from 1 species